UGAGGAAUAUUGGUCAAUGGGCGCAAGCCUGAACCAGCCAUCCCGCCGUGCAGGAAGACGGCGCUAUGCGUUGUAAACUAGCUUUUCCUAGGGGAGGAAACUUAGCGCACGUGUUGCGCAAUUGACGGUACCCUGGGAAUAAGCAUCGGCUAACUCCGUGCCAGCAGCCGCGGUAAUACGGAGGAUGCGAGCGUUAUCCGGAUUCAUUGGGUUUAAAGGGUGCGUAGGCGGACUAUUAAGUCAGUGGUGAAAUCCUGCAGCUUAACUGCAGAACUGCCAUUGAUACUGAUAGCCUUGAGUUUGGUUAAGGUAGCGGAAUGUGUAAUGUAGCGGUGAAAUGCUUAGAUAUUACACAGAACACCAAUUGCGUAGGCAGCUUACUGAGCCGACACUGACGCU
rnacentral:rRNA from 1 species